rnacentral:rRNA from 1 species
UACAGAGGUUCCAAGCGUUGUUCGGAUUCACUGGGCGUAAAGGGUGCGUAGGUGGUCGGGUAAGUCUGAUGUGAAAUCUCCAAGCUCAACUUGGAAACUGCAUCGGAUACUAUUCGGCUCGAGGGUUGGAGGGGGGACUGGAAUGCUUGGUGUAGCGGUGAAAUGCGUAGAUAUCAAGCGGAACACCAGUGGCGAAGGCGAGGCCCUGGACAGCUCCUGACACUGAGGCACGAAAGCUAGGGGAGCAAACAGG